rnacentral:rRNA from 1 species
GACGAACGCUGGCGGCGUGCUUAACACAUGCAAGUCGUACGGUAAGGCCCUUUCGGGGGUACACGAGUGGCUAACGGGUGAGUAACACGUGAGUAACCUGCCCACAACUUUGGGAUAACGCUAGGAAACUGGUGCUAAUACUGGAUAUUUGCCCCUGCUGCAUGGUGGGGGUUGGAAAGCUCCGGCGGUUGUGGAUGGACUCGCGGCCUAUCAGCUUGUUUGUGGGGUAGUGGCCUACCAAGGCGGCGGCGGGUAGCCGGCCUGAGAGGGUGACCGGCCACAUUGGGACUGAGAUAAGGCCCAGACUGCUACGGGAGGCAGCAGGGGGGAAUAUUGCACAAUGGGCGCAAGCCUGAUGCAGCAGCGCCGCGUGCGGGAUGACGGCCUUCGGGUUGUAAACCGCUUUCAGCAGGGACGAAGCUUUUUGUGACGGUACCUGCAGAAGAAGCACCGGCUAACUACGUG